GGGGUUGUGGCUCAGUGGUAGAGCAUUCACCUUGCAUGUGUGAGGCCCUGGGUUUGAUUCUCAGCACCA
rnacentral:tRNA from 1 species